rnacentral:rRNA from 1 species
UUCAAAAAUGGGAGGAUGUGUAAAGUAAAAAGAUGUACAAGGUUUCCGUAGGGAACCUGCGGAAGGAUCAUU